AGGGAAUGAAAACAAACUGAAGCAGUCUAAUUCAGGGGUAGUAACAUCACAACUAAAGAGUAAUAGCAUAACAUACAAAGACAUCUCUACGUUGUCUUGCACGAUACAUGCAACAGCAAAGUUGGCGCUAUAAUCCAUUGAGCUGAAAUACGAUGUUUGGCAGCUCAGGUCCAGAAUCUAAAUAGACAAAAUGUAUUGCCAAACUGAAGUAGCUUUAUUCAGGGGUUGUAGCAUCACAACUAAAGAGUAAUAACAUAACAUACAAAGACAUCUCUACGUUGUCUUGCACAAUUCAUGCGACAGCAAAGUUGGCACUAUAAUCCAUUGAGCUGAAAUACGAUGUUUGGCAGCUCAGCUCCAGAAUCUAAAUAGACAGAAUGUAUUGCCUACAAAUGAUGAUUAUGAAAAAGGAAGAAACUAAAUAACGAUGACAUCCUCAUCUGGAUGAUUUUCCGGUGCGCCUUGACCUCUUGCCCUCAUCCCAGGCUCCAUAUCAACACCAUCAUGAUUGCUCCCCAGCAGAUCGUUCUUAUGGAAGAAUGGUGGUUCCCCACCUAAUCAUAUAAAAAUAAAUUAUUAUAACCAAAAAAGAACAGAAGAUAUAGAUAUAUGGCUUUCAAAAUCAAGCAAAUAUUUUGGUAGUGCAUUCAACAGUUGUCAGAAGGAGGGUCAAUCAAAGAACACAAUUUCCAUUGUUGCAUCUUCCAAGAUUUACACAAAUCUGCUCAUUGGAUUCACUACUAAGCGAAUAUGGACAGAUGGAAAACUCUUGUACGACUUAAAACUUCUGUUGACCAUGGAUUUUUAAGAACAUAACAAUGCAUGUAUUUUUGCUAGACUAUUAAUAAUUCUUACAAUGAAUUGAAUCAGGACAUCACGAUCCACUUCUCUAGUCAAAUCACUCAUCACUGUCAGAAAAGCCGGAUUGACUUUC
rnacentral:lncRNA from 1 species